UGUUUUUUACCUAAAAUUUCCAUGCAAUAAGUUUGGGAGCAAUUCCUUUUGAUCCAUCAACAAGGCAACAAUAUGCCUUGUUUCUUUCAACCAAGAAACUGUAUGACAUAUUUUAUUCGUGGUCAGUCAGGUUGCCUAUGCAAGAAUUGAUUGUAUAAACUGGGCUGGCCUUUCAACUGAUGGUGAUCUUUCGACACUUCGUUAUGGAUAUUUUCCUAAUUAAUAUGCUGUCAAAAACUUUUCAUACAUUUUUUUUGGUGAUUCAGAAGCAUGCAUAUGAAGAUUCAUUCCAUUAUAUUUUGUGUUCUUGUUCUCUUGUGUUUAAGGUUAGCAUAAAUAAUUGAAAAUUAAGUAUUACAUGCAUAGUAAGGUGACUUUUCCAUAAUUGUCACUCUUUUCACACAAUGAUUGUACAAAGCCUUAGCCCUACAAGCCAGCCUAGAGCCGAGACCCAGUUUCUUGGGGUAGCAGUGACCCAUAUUAAUUUUGACAUCUAUCAUUCCAUUCAGAGUAACGUUGCACUUAAAGUGGAAGUUCUUAUACUUAGGUUAACACUUGGCGACGUUUCUUGGAGUCUUGGUGAACUCUGACAUGAUCAUCUAUUGUUGGUUGGUUUUCUAAGAUUGGAGGACCUUACCUGGCCAUAUAUCUCUGGGGUUUUAUGUUUGUAUUAGCUCUCCUAAUGAUGACAAUAUACCCCAUCGUGAUAGCUCCUCUGUUCAACAAGUUCACACCUAAAUCAAUGCCUAUUCAUAUUGUGAAGACAUUAAUUAGUUGAUAAGCACAUUGAGAACAGCAUGAAUAUUUGGGUGGGAUUUAGCAUACGUUUGACCCUGUUGAUAAUGCAAUCAGUGUGUGCAAUGAUCUACAGUCGUGCCUGCUUCCAAGUUCCAAUGCCUUGUUAUUGUGGUCGACUCCACAAGCAGAUCAAGGUGUAGACUCUAAAAGUUUCGUAGAAUUACAUGCAAAUCCAGGAUGUGUCCUGGAAGAUUUCGUUAGAUGGCACUCUCCACUUGAUUGGUCUGAAGACUGUGCUGCAAACAGUACCACUGUAGGGGAAGGCUCAUCUAGACAUGGGCGGUUAAGUGAUAGAUGCAAACAAAAGAGGGAAACUUGUGGGAGGCUGCAAAACCUAUACCUGCCGUUGAACAGACUCCAAUAUAUGAUGAAGAU